GUAGGUGAACCUGCGGAAGGAUCAUUACAGAGAAACUGCCCUUUGGGUAGAUCUCCCACCCUUUGUUUAUUAUACUCUGUUGCUUUGGCAGGCCCGUCUUUGGACCGCCGGCUUCGGCUGGUCAGUGCUUGCCAGAGGACCCAAACUCGUGUUGUUUGUGUUGUCUGAGUAACAUACAAAUAAGUUAAAACUUUCAACAACGGAUCUCUUGGUUCUGGCAUCGAUGAAGAACGCAGCAUCUGACUGACUA
rnacentral:misc_RNA from 1 species